UACGGAGGGAGCUAGCGUUAUUCGGAAUUACUGGGCGUAAAGCGCACGUAGGCGGCUUUGUAAGUUAGAGGUGAAAGCCUGGAGCUCAACUCCAGAAUUGCCUUUAAGACUGCAUCGCUUGAAUCCAGGAGAGGUGAGUGGAAUUCCGAGUGUAGAGGUGAAAUUCGUAGAUAUUCGGAAGAACACCAGUGGCGAAGGCGGACUCACUGGACUGGUAUUGACGCUGAGGUGGCGAAAGCGUGGG
rnacentral:rRNA from 1 species